GCCAGAUACGGUGGCACAUAAUUGUAAUCCCAGGUACUUGGGAGGCUGAGGCAGGAGGAUUGUGAGUUCAAGGCCAGUCUGGACAAUUUAGCAGUACCCUGUCUCAA
rnacentral:sRNA from 1 species